AUGGUCAGGUCACCUUGGGGAUGGAAAGUGGAUGUUUUCAUAGGCACGGUCACUCACCAGUGGAGGACAUAAAACUUUGGGUCCUAUGUAUACCUGUGUGUGCAGUACGUAUAUGCUGCAUAUCUAUGUGAGCAGUAUGUGUAUGCUGCAUAAGUGCUGGUGCCCUCAGAGUCGGGGAGACAGUGUCGGAUUUCCAGGAGCUGGAGUUCCAAGCAGUUGUGAGUUCAAAGCAGUUGUGAGCCAACAGCUAUGGGUGCUGGGAACUGAACUAGGGCCCUCUACAAAGGCCGUAGAGCAUCUUUAACCACUGGACCAUCUCUCCAGCCUCUAAUGGUGGACAUUUAAGAAGAAAGGAGGGGCACCUUUAAGUGGUCACGAGGCCAGGUGGUAAUUUUGCAGAGGCACUUCACUUCCCCUCUGUGCCUGAGAGGCAACUAACAGGGUAAUGAUGGGGAAUGAAGCUCUCUCCGGGCAGUGGAGACUGAAAUGCAGUGGUUAUCAGUUUUCGGCAGGGAGCCUGGUGUUUGGUGUCUGUAUAUCCCACCGAGAAUCUGAGGAUGUUUACACAAGCUGGGUUGCCGUGCACCUGCGUGGUGAUUAUCCCGCUCUCUGGCCUGGGACCGUCUCUUCCGGGGAUGCCAUCCUCUAGAGCAGGUACCCACACCAAUUCCAGAGGUGCUGGCAGAGUAAGCUCUAUUUGGGAGAGUCAUGGGUAGUGAGGGGGUGGUCUUCUAAGCUUACCUAGACAUACCCUCCAAAGCUACGAGUCUUAACGAGACCUCCCUAAGGUUUCCUUCCUCUGAAAAAGUCGCUCUAGUUGUGUGUCCCGUGUCCAGUGCAGGCAGAGGCGAUGCUUGCCUGAUGUCUGAUGUCUCCUACCCCUACUGACUCUCACCCCCAGUUCCAAGACUCUCCCCGACUGUACAGAUCCACGCUUGUGUGCUGAGUGGAUCAGCAGCUAUCCUGCUGGCAAGCAGCAGAGUCCAAACUGAUUCCUCAGGGAACCGCAAGCCCUUUUUCAAGCCUUGCUCCACCUCCCAAAUCAGGGGACUAAAGGAGUACCUCGAAAUCCCAAGCGGCUUACGCCCAUGCCCUAAAAACCAGAGUUUAUAACAAACCAAAGCAAAACACUAGGACUGCUCUCACCCCGAGGGGCAACUGGGACCAGGCGCUUCAGCAGGACCAAGAGAUCCAGUUACAGCGGGAAGACCACUCCAGCUGGACAGAGGCCAGCAGGUGGCCGCAGGUGGACAGGGUGGGUGGGGGGGUCUGCGUGCGGCACCGAAAGGGCCUAGGAGCCAGACACAGGCCCCGAGAAGGCGGAAGCUUGGGCAAGUGCCUGUCGCCGCCCUCUGCUCAAAGAGAAACUGCUUCUCCUUGUGGGGAGGGGCAGGACAGGGAUCUUCCGAGGGGCAGCAGGUGUGUGGUUAGCAGGCGCUGUAGGCUUAGAUGGACCCCUGCUGUGCCUUAGGAGCCGCCCAAGACCCCUCUCUCACGCUGGGGGCGGUCUCUCUCGACCGAGGUCACCUCCCACCCCUAAACUCCUCCCCCCACCACUUCCAGGCCGCGCGAGUUUCAGCGACCCCGGGGUCCCCAGGCUUGGCUAGAGACUACCCGGGAAUAUCCCUCAGGCCUCCAGUCCCCACCGCUGUGGACCUGAGUCUACAACCGCGUCCACCACUUCCCAAGAAAGAUCGAGACUGCCGACGUGGUAUCGGUCCGAGAGGUCGCCUAGCUGCCACCUGCGGGGCCACCUGCUUCUCUGGUCAGGUGUGACCCGGGCGCUCCUGGCCUGGGAGAGGGACCAGAGCUCUGCGGCCGGUACCGAGCGACCUCUUCUCCGCCUCUCUGGGAGUCAGGCUCGGUGCUGGGGUCUCCCGCUCAGAGGGGCGCCGAGACAAAGGCUCCAGGGCGGCCCCGCUCGUCCCUGAUAAUCAUCACUCACCGGUGCUGGCUGCGGCUCGGAGGUCAAGCGGCGCCAGGGAGCUCGGCAGGAGGAACCGGACGCUGGGUUCGGGGUCGCUGGGCCGCGGGUCCUGGGUUUCGGGGUCGCGAGACGCCGGCCGCCUGGGCCAGAGACUCGUCCUCGCUGGCGCUCAGCGGCGGUGACUGACAGUGGCUGCUCUGGGGACGGGCACGCACCCCGCUCCCGCCCCGCCUCACUCCGUCUGCUGGCAGGUAAACGCGCGCCACUGGAAGGGCGGGGGACACACGGGGACCCAGGGGCAGGGCAACCCUCCGAGUGGCGGGGCGGGGCUUUGCUCGUCACCGCCCUAAGCUCCUCUUCGCGCUGCUACUCUCUGAACUUCCCUGCUUUGGAAACCUGGAGAAUGGGAGCUCACAACAGCUCUCAACAGAGGUCUGGAUGGCAUUGUCCACCAUGUAUCAUGGGUUACCUGGAUCCCUGGUACCUGUCCCUGAUGAAGAGGUCAGUUGCACCCGAGGUGGAUUUCUGAGUUCUAGGCCUGAAGCUGGAGCUGAGACCACAGGUGCUGGUUGGAGGGCCCAGGACCAGGACUCCUGUUGUCAGGAAGACUCCCAACAAGAAAGCGUCCCCUUUCUUCUACUCUGGAACCUUUUUGUGCUUACUUGAACACAGGUCCCGUGCUGUCACGUGGAUCUUUUGACUCCAUCAGCCUGACUCUGGGUAGGUGAGAGGAACUAGUGGAUAGGGACCAUACCAAGUCUCUAGUUCUUAUCUAGUUAAGUAAACCCUACUAGAGAAUCAAUCAGACAACCUAGUGACACACCCAUACAUGCAAAGAACAGAGGACAGGAAGUCUCAGCUGGCUCCUAGGGAGUUUCACAUCCUCCUGGAAGGUGGAGGAUCCAGCAACUAUGUCCAAAUGCCAGUCUUCUGAAGGCAAAUACUUUCCCAGCAGUCUAGAGACACCCACCUGGUCCUUACCUAGGAACUGAUGGUGACGAGGAUGUAGGUCCUGGGAUUUGGAGGGAAGGAUGAAAAAGCAGGGGAAACAUAAGAUGGAGUGACCUUAAGCCUCCCUGAAGCAAGAGAGCCACCAGGGUAGGGAUGUCCAGUGCUCACGACUGGCCAGGCCACCCUUGGUGCUCAGGCCACCGGAGAAUGUUGGAACUUCGGGUCUCAUCCCAGACAUCAAAGCUCAGUGUCAGCAGCCAGAAGACAGAUGUGUCCUAGAGUCCCCGCCCUGCAGAUGUCAGUGAAUCUGGGAGCUGCUAGUCAUGAUGGGAACAACAGCCUCCUGACCUCCAAGGCUUUGUUGGUUCCCGGGGACAGCAGGUUUCCCUCCUGGUGGCCGGCAUGGCUGAUCCUGCCAGACCCUUCUAAAAGGAUUUGUGAAAUGUUGCCUGCAAUGUUUGUGGGGAUACAAUGCUUGUGUAGAUAGGUGUCCUGUGGAAUAUUACUUUUGACAAAGAUGUGUUACAUUUGUUUAUAUAUGUUGUAUUUAUUUAGCUAUGUAAUGAUGUGUUACAUUUGUUGAUACUGUAUUUGUUUAACUAUGUAACGAUGUGUUACAUUUAUUUAUGCUGUGCUUUUCAACUAUGUAAUGAUGUCUUACAUUUGUUUAUGUUACAUUUGUUUAACUAUGUAAAGAUGUGGUGUUUUACCUGCCUAAGGCACCUGAUUGGUCUAAUAAAAAGCUGAGUGGCCAAUA